GGUAAAGAGAAGUCCUGCUUAUGUGGUAGUCUUCAAGUGAGUCAAGCGGUUUGGUCUUGUGAACAGAUUCAUUUUCCAAAGUAUUCUGAAUUUUCUGAAUCCACUCAAGUUCGCUCUUAUCCCUUUUUACCAGGUAGCAUGGUAACCAACGCCUGUAGCCUGGAUACCCAGAGGCCCUCGAUCUGUCCUGAGGAUUUUGGAACACAGACCAGCUGGGCAUUUUUGUGCAUGCAAGACCUGCCUUCGCAAUGAUCUUAAGAUGUCACUGUAGCGUUUACAUCUUUUAUUUCAAGAUUUAAAUAACUAGGAAGUAGCUCAUGUAAUUCACUGCUGAGAAGAAAGGCGAGCUCCUAGAUUCCUUUCCAAAGCGAUCUCCUCCUAAUGAGCUUCUCUGGACUGUGAGUAAUGAGACUUUAUUCAAAUAAUGUUUAAGGAAGGCUCUGUCAGUGUAAUUUCUAAAAAAGGGACCAAUGUUUAAUACAUUUGAAACAUCUCUAUUCAUACGAUAUUAGCUCAGGCAAGCCCACAGCAGCACUUGCCAAGGAGAAUUCUGUGUUGCUCUUUCAGAGGAGAGAGCCCUCAACUUGGCCUGGGCCAAGCCCCCAGUGCCCCUGCAAAGCAGGGAGCUCGGCCCUCCUUUUUAUCUGGUGUUUUCCAGAGCUAAUGCGUUUAAGGUACUCUGGGUUGAUAUAAACCCUCAGCAUUAAGGAGUUUCAGCAUUCUGCUCCUCUCCCCAUCAAAAUCGCUCUCUGUUCUAUCUUGGGGAUUGUGUCAAUAUAGUUUUCCUGUUUUGUGAGCUCUAUCUGGUUUGCAACAGCAGAAAAACGGAAUGGGAUGGAUUCAAGGCCCUUCACAUUUUUCUUGCAGGGCCUGGGUAUGUGGCGGCGGCUAAAAGAUGC
ensembl:lincRNA